rnacentral:lncRNA from 1 species
ACAGAUGGGCCUCAUUGAGGGUUCAGGAGUCUGUCUAAAGUCAGACAAGCAAAGAAUUGGUGUCAGUAGGCUAAGAAACAGAUGGGUCAGGAGAUGCAGGAAGAAUUUGGAGAAGGCAUAACCGAGGAUGCUCGUGUUCUGCUAACGUUGGCAGCGGCUGCACUCAGUACAGAGCAUCUUAAGGAGGUGACCCAUCUACCCCGUCCUAUCCUGGCGACCCAUCUACACUGUCCUGUCCUGGUGACCCAUCUACACUGUCAUGUACUGGUGACCCAUCUACGCUGUCCUGUACUGGUGACCUGUCUACACCGUCCUGUACUGGUGACCUGCCUACACCAUCCUGUACUGCUGACCCGUCUACACCGUCCUGUACUGGUGACCCAUCUACACCGUCCUGUACUGGUGAUUUGUCUACACUGUCCUGCACAGGUGACCCAUCUACACUGUCCUGCACUGGUGACCCAUCUACACUGUCCUGUACUGGUGACCCGUCUACACUGUCCUGCACUGGUGACCCAUCUACACUGUCCUGUACUGGUGACCCAUCUACACUGUCCUGCACUGGUGACCCAUCUACACUGUCCUGCACAGGUGACCCGUCUACACUGUAUUGUGGCAGGCUCCAUCAUUAUGCUUAACUACAGUUUAUUUAUACCUUCUGGUUCUAGACAACUUCUCAUUUUCAUAUAACAAUGAAAAAUUCAUUAGAUCUAGAGCCUCCACACUCAAUAACAUUACCAACAUUGUUCAAGAGUCCAAAGUCUCUUUUGAGACUUAAGAUAAGCUCUUCUAUCAAUCAAAAGAUAACUUACAUACUUUUGGGGCUAGAAGGCUACAGAGUAAGGAUUCCCAUUUAACACCUCCAUCCUAAAAGGGAGGCAUGGGGGAAUAAAAGGAGAAUAGAGACAAAGCAAGAUCCAAACCCAGAAGGGCAGGUGGCUCAAGAUGGAAUCCAAUAGCUUUGGGUAGCCUUGCCCUGAAGUAAACAUGGCCCUGCUCCACACUAUGCCUGCAUCUGUCCUCAGUGGAUGUUGCACGGUCUGCCAUCUUCGAUGUUUUGAAGUCUCCACUGCGUGCUGGUGUUUGGCUUCCCAGCUCCACGAGGUCACCUUUCAGGGCUUCCUUGCAUGAGAUAAGACAUGCAGUUUUCUAGAACCUUGGUGUCAGCCUUCACAACGGUAUCACUCUUGCUUGGUUCACAUCUACCAAGCUAGUGCCAUGUAGAUGGUACUCUUACAUUCUGUCACCAUCAGUAUGAGGUGUGGCCUGGCCUCCUUGCACUGUAGACACAGUGGCCUCUGUGAGCUUCCGAGGAGGCUCAGUCUGAGAAAUGCUUGCCUAGGCAGCUGCUUACCAUCAUGAGACCCUUUCAGUGGCAUUCUCAGCUUAAGUUCUCUCCUUUAAAAGGAAUUUAUGUCUUCAAAAGCUUUCAUGGGUAUGGUCUUGCCCCCCAGGGUACCUUUCUUAUGGCCCAGCUUGGAUGUAAUCUCUUUACCAGUUAUAGCUGCUCUCAUAGCUUGUCUGCAUCUUAAAGCUCACUGUUCCUGUUUUAUUUCUGUUGCUAUGAGACAAAAAUAACUUGGAGAAGAAGAGGAGAUGCAGUCCAUUAUGGCUGGGACAAUGUGGUAGCGGAUGGGUGAGAAUGUCAGCCAUAUUGGAUCUGCACUCAGGAAAUAAGAAGUGAUGAAUGUUGGGACUCUGCCCACCAUGGUCUCUUUCUCCAGUCUGGGAACCCACCCCAUUGGAUGGUGCACCCACACUUAGAGUGGGACUUCACUACCCAGUUAAAACUUUCUGGAAAUGCCCCCCAGAGAUGACAUAUCUAGAGCUUUAUUUCUUAGAUGGUUCUAAUUACAGUCAAAUUGACAAUAAAGGUUAUCUACCACAACAUGGUAAUAAGUUAUAAAGUUACUGGCAUACAUUACUCUUUCUCAGUGGCUGAUGAUAAUCAUGUAGCAGCUUGGAAGACCACAGUCAUUUGUUUCUGGGGAAAAACACCAACAGAAUUCAGUGCAGACUUUGUACCAAGUUCAACUUUUAGGUUUGUUUAGUUUGCUCUGCAAAGUAUCUUAACACCUGGUUCACAUCCAGACAUCAGUGGGAGGAACAGCUCUUGGUCCUGUGGGAGUUCCAUGUCCCAGUGUAGGGAAAUGCCAGGGUGGGAAGGUGGGAGUGGGUGGGUAGGUGGUGGAGCCCUCUCAUAGAGGCAGGGGGAGGGGGUGGGAUAGGAGGUUUCUGGAGGGGAUACCUGGAAAGGGGAUAACAUUUGAAAUGUAAAUAAAGAAAAUAUCCAAU